UUUAUAAUGAUGAGUUUAUGAUAGGGACAACUGAAAUCAAUGAAAGAUUUAUCAUAAUAGUAGAACUGAUAAA